rnacentral:rRNA from 1 species
GCGAGCGGCGGAUGGGUGAGUAACACGUGGGGAACCUGCCCCUAAGUCUGGGAUACCAUUUGGAAACAGGUGCUAAUACCGGAUAAUAAAGCAGAUCGCAUGAUCAGCUUUUGAAAGGCGGCGUAAGCUGUCGCUAAGGGAUGGCCCCGCGGUGCAUUAGCUAGUUGGUAAGGUAACGGCUUACCAAGGCGACGAUGCAUAGCCGAGUUGAGAGACUGAUCGGCCACAUUGGGACUGAGACACGGCCCAAACUCCUACGGGAGGCAGCAGUAGGGAAUCUUCCACAAUGGACGCAAGUCUGAUGGAGCAACGCCGCGUGAGUGAAGAAGGUUUUCGGAUCGUAAAGCUCUGUUGUUGGUGAAGAAGGAUAGAGGUAGUAACUGGCCUUUAUUUGACGGUAAUCAACCAGAAAGUCACGGCUAACUACGUGCCAGCAGCCGCGGUAAUACGUAGGUGGCAAGCGUUGUCCGGAUUUAUUGGGCGUAAAGCGAGCGCAGGCGGAAAAAUAAGUCUAAUGUGAAAGCCCUCGGCUUAACCGAGGAACUGCAUCGGAAACUGUUUUUCUUGAGUGCAGAAGAGGAGAGUGGAACUCCAUGUGUAGCGGUGGAAUGCGUAGAUAUAUGGAAGAACACCAGUGGCGAAGGCGGCUCUCUGGUCUGCAACUGACGCUGAGGCUCGAAAGCAUGGG